UCUGAUAGUUUUGAUAGGAAGG
rnacentral:miRNA from 1 species